GGCAUUAGAGUAAGCUUUGUAAAAGAAACUCUCCUUAUCUUCUCUCCCUGCCAUCUUUCUCUCUCUAUUUCAAUGUUGAUUUCAAGAUUUUCGGUGAAGUCAAACAAAUUCUCCCUCUUUUGAUUGCAUCUUAGGUUCUUUAGGGUUUUGUGUUGGAGAAUUUGAAUUCGUGAUGUUUCUUGAUUGGAAUUUCACAAUGUAAUUGAUGUUCCUUUUGCUUUAGUGGUUUCAAAUGUUCAAGAAUUUACAAUGUCUUUGUGAUUUUUUACCAAGAUUCUAUAAUGUCUUUUUUUUAGUGAAGAAAAUUGUCUGAUAGAUUUUUUACUAAGAUUGUAAUUGUUUGUGGAAUCUUUAAUAGUGAAAUACUUGGGUUAAUAUCAAAUAGAUUUCUGGGUUCGCCUGUUUGGAAUUGACAACUUCUAUUUGUCUUGUUAUGUUUCUUGAUUUUCAAUCAUUCUAGUACUUACCAGUUUUUUUUUUUUUCUGAUUUUUCAUCAAGAUUAUUAUCAAGAUUGACAGUGUUUUUUCAUCAAGAUUCUGAAAUUUAUAAGUUUAGUCUAAUGCAUCAUUUCACCUUUUUUUUUUGGUUGUUGGUGGGUAGGCGGGGGAUGGAUGACAUGUACUUCAUGCAGUAUCUUAAGGUUUCUAAUAAUCAAGAUGAUUAUCAAGAUUUUGUCAAUGAUUGAUGAAGAUCUUAAAUUAAAAUUUCAAGAAACUUAAAGAUUUUGUCACCUUUCGUUUUGUCAAUUUUGUUUUUUUUUGGAUGGGUAUUGCCUUGAGAUUUCUAAUAGUAAAAUAUAAGUUCUCAGGGGUGGUUUACUUGAACUAAUCUCUGUGUGUCUCAUUCGUAUUGUGAUUUCAAGAUUUUCAGUUAAGUGAAAGAAACUCUCCCUCUCUUCUCUCGUUGGCAUUAAAGUAAGCUUCCUAUCUCUCUUUUUCAAUGGAUAUUCGUAUUGUGAUUUCAAGAUUUUUCGGUGAAGUCAAACAAACUCUCCCUCUUUUGAUUGCAUCUUAGGUUCUUUAGGGUUUUAUGUUGGAGAAUUUGAAUUCUUAAUGUUUCUUGAUUGUAAUUCACAAUGUAAUUUAUAUUCUUUUUGCUUUAGUGGUUUCAAAUGUUCAAGAAUUUACAAUGUCUUUGUAAUUUUCUUAUUAAGAUUCUACAAUGUCUUUUCUUUAGUGAUGACAGUUGUCUGAUGGAUGUUUUGGUCACUACUUUGGUUAUGGUAUGUAGUACCAGAGGGGCUUUGCAGUUUUAUAAAGGCCUCAUCUAUUCCAAUAUAACAGUAGCUCUUUGAGGGAUUCAGGGAUGCACCAUUUCACCUAUUCAACAACAAGAAACAAAACGUCUUCAGCUAGACUACAUAUAUGUUGGGAGGGGGAGGUCAAGUGAUGAUCUCACUGCAUAUGGACUCAUAUCUGGAUUUGUGAGGCGGUUUCCAGUUUUAGUGAGUUUAUCUUCACUGGAUAAGGAUCAUCUUGUUCAGAUUUGUCUACUCUUUUUGCCUUUUUGCAAUGUAGUUUCUAGUUUCACGUUUUCAUUAUUUAAUCAGCUUUUUGGGAAUUCCAACUGUGCUUAGGAGGUUGAUGACCAACCUUAAAAUAGUCAUAUUAUGAUGAAUCCUCAUAGUAUUUGUUGAGAUGAUGUCCUAAUGAAAUUGGCCCAACCAGAGUGAACCACCCCCGACUUUUAAAUGUGGUUUUGAACGAUUGAUUGGAUGGGGAACUUUGGGAGUUUGUUCGUUUUGCUUUUAGGUGCUAUCAUGGACUGUUAGCUGGCAUUAAGAAGGGAAGACUAGUAAACUCAAUAUGUUUUGUUAAAGAACCCAAAAAUGCUCUUUGCAAGCAAUACAGGCAAUCAACUUGAAUAAUGAAAAAAGGGAAUGUGAAGAAGAAGAAGUCAUUCUUGAAAAAAAAAAUCAAAAACAAAAUGAUACUCCAUUAUGAUGCAUUGGAUCAAAUUCAGUCUUUGGAUCCAAAUGUAAUUUAUAUUCUUUUGCUUUAGUGGUUUCGUAUCAAGAAUUUUACGACGUCUUUGUGAUUUUUUACCCAAGAUUCUAUAAUGUCUUUUGUUUAGUGAAAAAAGUUGUCUGAUGGAUGUUUUGGUCACUACUUUGAUUAUGGUAUGGAGUACCAAAGGGGCUUUGCAGCUUUAUGUAGGCCUCAUCUGUUCCAAUAUAACAGUAGCUCUUUGAGGGAUUCAGGGAUGCACCAUUUAUAUUCAUCUGUUCAUUCAAAUGGCCUAUAACUCUUGUAAAUCUUUAUACAAAUUCACAUAUGUAGUUCCUUGACUCCAAAUAUGUUCUCUUUUGAAGCAUUUUUCGAGAUCAAUAAUUUCACUUGUUGAGUUUAUCUUUAUUUCUUCUUCAAAUUAGAAGUGUACGUGAAGAGCUCGGAAACAUCCACGUGGCAAUACUAUUCAGUUUAGUGCUUUUUAGAAUCAAUUGGAUUAAGUUGGGGGUGGAAUACAAAUCUCUACAAGGAAAGAAUGUUUGGCCAAGGAAAAUCAGAUGUCAUUCACUGACCUAUUCAACAACAAGAAAUAGAAGGUCUUCAGCUAGACUACACAUAUGUUGGGAGGGGGAGGUCAAGUGAUGAUCUCACUGCAUAUGGACUCAUAUCUGAAUUUGUGAGGUGGUCUCCAGUUUUAGUGAGUUUAUCUUCACUGGAUAAGGAUCAUCUUGUUCAGUGCUAUCGUGGACACUUAGCUGACAUUAAGAAGGGAAGACUAGUAAACUCAAUAUGUUCUGUUAAAGGUUAACUUACAGUUUACCGAGAAUGCACUUUGAGUUAUUGUUGAGGAAUACAUUGCCAAAAACACUGGUGCAUGAGGCUUAAAAUUUAUACUAGAAAGUAUACUGACUGAAGCCAUGUUUUGAGGUAUUGCAUGACAUUUGGCAUUAAUUCUGGAAGAGCUUGGAAAAAUAUUUCACCCAUUUUACUCUUAUCACAUUGAGGCUACUAAAGGGAGGAGAUAUGUCACCUUUUAUUUGAGAGUAUGAGACUGCUGACUUCAAUGUAGAAUCAGCUCAGCAAGGGGUUGUCUACAUAGAUGAAGUUGAUAAAAUAGCCAAAAAGGCUGAGAGCCUUAACAUUGGCAGAUGUAUCUGAGAAGGACACCCAACCGCGCUGCCAAUGAUGCUUGAAGGAACUAUAGCUAAUGAUGUCCUUUUUAUCUGUGGUGGAGCUUUUGUGGUUUAAAGAAGGCAAUUUCAGACAUGUGUCAAGCUCAAUUAAUUUCAUGAAACACAUUUAGGUUAAGUGAUAUAUUAUGGUUCAGCUUUAUCAUUCCUUUACUCCCAGAUGACAAUAUUCUUCAAUUGGAUUUGGAGCACCUGUUCAAACUAACAUGAGAAUUGGUGGUCUAACUGAUGCUGGAGUUACAUCAUCACUUCUUUUCCGGAUCACUAUUCUGUAAAUCUAGUGAUUUUAUGACUCUUUAUUCUCGUGAAAUUCUUAAAAUAAAAUGCAUCAGAAGCAUUUGUUUGACAUUGCUUUCUGUAUCCCGGUAGAAAGUGAUGAUCUCACUGUGUAUGGACUCAUACCUGAAUUGGUUAGGUGGUUUCCAGUUUUAGGAGUUUGAUGCAUAUUUUGGUCACUACUUUUAGGCUCUUUUCUAGGGAUGUAAUUAUUUGUGGAAUCUUAAUGGUGAAAUACUUGGUUAAGAUCAACUAUAUUUCUGGGUUCUUUGUUGUUUUUAUUUUUCCUUUAAAAUAUACCAAGAGUUGAUUGCCUGUUGUUAUACUGUUGGAUGCUAUUUUUUUCCUAAUAUAUAUGAAGAUUAAUAAUCAGUAUGUUGCUAUGCUCUAUAGUUAAGUCGCUACAGUGGCUUGGUCAUAGCAGCUAGAACUUGGUUGUAUUGUGUGUGACUUUUCCUUUUUCUGUUUCCUCACUCUUAGAGCUCUGCUUUUCCUGUGAUAGACAAAGAAUUUUCUUCAGAAAUGUUGGUUUCCUUUUGACUAGUACAUUCGUGUUGGCACGACACUUGUUAAAGUUAUUAUACUGAUUGAAACUUUACUAAGUGAUUGUUGUUGUUAUUUAAUAAUAAUAAUGUUAUUCAUUAUUAAUAUUAAUAUUUUUUAUUUUCAUUAUUAUCUUUUCCAUCUGCAGCCAAUUAAAACUGCAAAUUGUUUCCUUUUGUUGGUAGAGACUAGGGAAAACAUAGACUUUUGGAGGACCCAAAAAAAUGGCGAAUUUGUCUAUUUCAAACAUACUCGAGAAGGACAAGGACUAGAGACAUAUGACAACUUCUUAUUUGCUAAUUGAGUUAAACAAAGAGGGGUUUCAACUUGAUGUUGAGCUUGAAAGGGAAGUUAUCAAGUGCAAUUUUGCAGCAGCUUGAUGAUGCAGUCGAUAAUGUUUCUGGAUAUGCUGUCAAAUGGUUUGACUUUUUCUCAUUUGUUGUUUCUUAUACUCAUGAUGUUCCUGUCUUGGGACUAGGAGCUUCUUAUUGACCAUACUAAAAUGGUUGUAGUCUUUUUCAUAUUAUAGUCCUUGUUGCAUAAUCAACAUCGGCCUACCAAAUAUUUCAUUUUCCUUGUUAAAUGGUUUAAUCUUUUCCCAUUUUUUGUAUCUUGUGUUGUUCCUUUCUUGGGACUAGGAGCUUCUUAUUUGACCCUACUACAAUGGUAGUAAUCUUUUUUUGUAUUAUAGAUCCUGUUGCAUAAUCACCAUAGCUCUGUCAAAUAUUUCAUUUUCCUUGUUAAAUAGUUUAACCUUUUCCCAUUUGUUGUUUCUUGUGUUGUUCCUGUCUUGGGACUAGGAGCUUCUUAUUGACCCUACUACAAUGGUAGUAAUAUUUUUCAUAUUAUAGAUCCUGUUGCAUAAUCACCCUAGGUCUGUUAUUUCGUUUUCCUUGUUAAAUGGUUUAACCUUUUCCCAUUUGUUGUUUCUUGUGCUGUUCCUGGCUUGGGACUAGGUGCUUCUUAUUGACCCUUACUAAAAUGAUGGUAAUCUUUUUCAUAUCAUAGAUCCUAUCGCAUAAUCACCAUAGGUCUGCCAAAUAUUUUGAGACCAAACAUGUUUGGCAAUUGCACUGUUCAAGUUGUUUUGUGCAACCCUGUUUGAUGGGUGAGUUAGGUCAAAUACUGGUUUAUAUGCCUUGCAGCAAUCAUCUACGAAUGAUGUAAAAUUCUAACGAGCUGGACAGUACUUGUUCAAUAGCUCAUCACUGUUCUUUCUAGAUGCUGACUGCUCUUCAUAAUUUUCCAUAAACUAAUUGCAGAUAGACACUAAAGAUUUCUUUUUUAUCUGCGGUGGUGCUUUUGUUUAGUUUAGAGAAGACAAUUUCAGAAAGAUGACAAGAUUUUUCAAUUGGAUUUGGAGCACCAGUUCGAACUAACAUGAGAACUGGCGGUCUAACUGAUGCUGUAGUCACAUCAUCACCAUUGGAAUCUGUGAGGAGAUCCCUGUGAAAAUUAUGAAGAGCAUAGUUCUAUCAUUAGCUAUUUUAUUCUGGAAAAGAAGGAAGCAACAAAAGAAGACUUGGACUCGGAGUCUGUGGCUCCGGCAAGAGCCUUGUGCUUGUGAUCUCAGUGUCUGUUUCUUUUCAAAAAAAAAUUGUGAAUUCUUGUAUAUAAAGUAUUAGAAAACGUGCAAAGCUAAUUGGGGUUCCUUGUUCAAAAGAAGGCUUUUUUGAAAACCUAGAUUUUAAAACUCCGAACCGAAUGUUUCUAUUAGUUCCCCACCGCCUUUUCCGCAGGACACCUGAUCCAAUCCAUUUUGAUUUCCAGGAUGGUGCUUUAUGCAGUUAUAUUUGUACAAUUCCUCCAACAUCCCCACCCCACCCUACCCUCCCAAAAAAAGGGGGAGUUAUCUCUUGUUAUAUCAUGUGAACUAGAGAUUCAAUAUAUUGUGAUGGUACGGUGAGGUUUGCUUUGAUAUGCUCACCCUCUUUAUUCCUUUUCUCUGCUGCAACAGGAGAUAGAUGGUAUUUGCAUAAGUUGGACACAGCAUUCUGCAAUCAUAAUAGAACAUCAAGGUUCCUCUGAGGAGAUUAAUCAAAUCUUUGGUUAUGACAGUAAAGUUUUUUCAUGAAAAUACUUGCUCAGAGCAUCUACCUUAGCUCACCCCGAAUUUUGGUUAUAAUAAUCUUUCCCCAUUUAAUGAGCAGUUUCAUUGUCAAUACUGUAGUAUGAGGUAAAUCUGCUGCGUAGGGAAUCAUUCAUGGUAAAGAUAUAAACCAAUCAUGUCAAUGGCAAGGAGUAAAUUGAAGUGCUUGCUCAGAAAACAAAACGCAGCACUAGUGCAUAUACAUUGAGUUUACAUAUUCAUGUUAAGCAUUUCUCAUGAAUACAGUUAUUUUUACAGUAGGUAUUUUCAAGUAAUUAGUCACUUGAGGGUCAGAAUGGACCUCGCUUGUUUCAUCAAGAUACCUUAGUGACGUCUUAUUUUGAUCAUGUCCAACAGGUGCGGCUGAAGAGUGAAGAUGCUUGAAGGAACUGUUGAGUAUUUAUCGCAAAUUAUUUCAGCUGUUCGUUCUAAUUGCCUAUUACCCUUGUAAACAUGUUUACAAGUUCAUAUUGUAAGUGUACCUGAUAAUAGAGCACGGAAGCAUCCACGUGAUGGCGAUGCUAUUCAGGUAUACUGGAUCUAUUAAAGCCUCUUUUAUCUACUUUUUCUUUUUUAAUAUUGCAGGCAAGCAGUUUUGUGGGAAAAGCACCAACCCUGGCUAAUUGGAUGGUAAUAUAGUUUAGUGCUUCUUAGAAUCAAUUUGAUUAUGUUGGGGGUGAAAAAAAAAAUCUCUACUGGGAAAGAUUGUUUGGCCUAGGACAAUCAGAUGUCAGACACUGACCUAUUCGACAAACAAGAAACAUGACUUCUUCAGCUAAACUACACAUUUGUUGGGAGGGGGAAGUCAAGUUAAAUACUGGUUUAUAUGCCUUGCAGCAAUCAUCUAUUACAAACAUAUACUCGAGAAGAUGACAAGCAGGGACAAGGACUACAGAUAUAUGGAAAUUUCUGAAUUGUUAAAUGAGCAAAGAUGGGUAUAAAGCGCUGUGCAACAUACUAAAAUAUUAUGAUGAUAGCAAACUCCAGUGAUCCGAACCAUUCCCAUUGAAGAAGAAGCAGAUAUGUAGAAGUUUCAUUUCAAUGCUCAAAAUAUUUAACAAGUGUUAUUUCAAAUAUUUGUCUCUCAGAGAGUUGAUAUUUCUAAAGAUCACUCAACUUUGGGAAUAUAUAUAGUAAUGUCAUUGGAUUUUGUUUUGUAUCAAUAAAAUUACUCAA